GGGACGGGAAUCGGGACGGUUAACGGUCGCCUCGCGGCAGCGCACGGCUAACGGUCGCCUCGCGGCGGCGGCGGCGCACGGCUAACGGUCGCCCGCGCCGCGGCUUGUUCAAGAACCAGCAAGCUCUUACAGCUCAGCAGGACCUCACUCAUCCUAAGCAGCGAUCGAGAAGAAGGAAAAACCCCAACUUUGGGGAAAGAAUGGUGAUUUGGGUUGAAAACCUCUGCUAGCAGACUCCAUCUGCAGAGCUAAUCUCGACAAAGGCUUUGCCAGUCAGGACCCUGGAUGCGAAGCCUAACGCUGCACACCCGUGUGGAGAGAUGCCAGCAUUCCCUGAAGUUCCAGCUGCUGCUUGAGCCUCCGCGAGCGUCUGGACAUCUCACAUGAUGUGCUUGUGCUGCCUUUCUCCUACACACUCGCACUUAUGAAGCUCCACCUACACAGUUUGAUUCACCAGGAUGAGGUGGCGUUAUUUACAUGGGUAUUCCUAAGUCAGCUGAGUUUAAAGCUGUCUGCAAGUUUCUUCUGUCCAUGCAUCUGUCAAAAUCUACCUAGAAAGCAUCUCAUCAAAACCAUCAAAGACAGACAAGGUUGUCAU